rnacentral:rRNA from 15 species
UAACGACUCUCGGCAACGGAUAUCUCGGCUCUCG